rnacentral:rRNA from 1 species
AGCGAACGCUGGCGGCAGACCUAAAACAUGCAAGUCGAACGGAUCCUUCGGGAUUAGUGGCGGACGGGUGAGUAACACGUGGGAACGUGCCUUUUGGUUCGGAACAACUCAGGGAAACUUGAGCUAAUACCGAAUGUGCCCUUCGGGGGAAAGAUUUAUCGCCAUUAGAGCGGCCCGCGUCUGAUUAGCUUGUUGGUGAGGUAAAGGCUCACCAAGGCGACGAUCAGUAGCUGGUCUGAGAGGAUGAUCAGCCACACUGGGACUGAGACACGGCCCAGACUCCUACGGGAGGCAGCAGUUAGGAAUCUUGCGCAAUGGGGGAAACCCUGACGCAGCCAUGCCGCGUGAAUGAUGAAGGUCUUAGGAUUGUAAAAUUCUUUCAGCGGGGACGAUAAUGACGGUACCCGCAGAAGAAGCCCCGGCUAACUUCGUGCCAGCAGCCGCGGUAAU